UACGUAGGGGCCUAGCGUUGUCCGGAUUUAUUGGGCGUAAAGAGCUCGUAGGCGGCUUGGUUAGUCAGGUGUGAAAUCUCAGGGCUCAACCCUGAAACUGCACUCGAUACUGCUCUGCUUGAGGACUGGAGAGGAGACUGGAAUUCACGGUGUAGCAGUGAAAUGCGUAGAUAUCGUGAGGAAGACCAGUGGCGAAGGCGGGUCUCUGGACAGUUCCUGACGCUGAGGCGCGAAGGCCAGGGGAGCAAACGGG
rnacentral:rRNA from 1 species